rnacentral:tRNA from 12 species
GACCCAUUAGCUCAGUUGGUAGAGCACCUGACUUUUAAUCAGGGUGUCCCGCGUUCGAGUCGCGGAUGGGUCACCA